UGGGGAAUUUUGGACAAUGGGCGAAAGCCUGAUCCAGCAAUGCCGCGUGUGUGAAGAAGGCCUUCGGGUUGUAAAGCACUUUUGUCCGGAAAGAAAUCCUUGGCUCUAAUACAGUCGGGGGAUGACGGUACCGGAAGAAUAAGCACCGGCUAACUACGUGCCAGCAGCCGCGGUAAUACGUAGGGUGCAAGCGUUAAUCGGAAUUACUGGGCGUAAAGCGUGCGCAGGCGGUUUGCUAAGACCGAUGUGAAAUCCCCGGGCUCAACCUGGGAACUGCAUUGGUGACUGGCAGGCUAGAGUAUGGCAGAGGGGGGUAGAAUUCCACGUGUAGCAGUGAAAUGCGUAGAGAUGUGGAGGAAUACCGAUGGCGAAGGCAGCCCCCUGGGCCAAUACUGACGCUCAUGCACGAAAGCGUGGGGAGCAAACAGGAUUAGAUACCCCUGGUAGUCCACGCCCUAAACGAUGUCACUAGUUGUUGGGGAUUCAUUCCUUAGUAACGUAGCUAACGCGUGAAGUUGACCGCCUGGGGGAGUACGGGU
rnacentral:rRNA from 1 species